rnacentral:rRNA from 1 species
UACGAAGGGGGCUAGCGUUGCUCGGAAUCACUGGGCGUAAAGGGUGCGUAGGCGGGUUUUUAAGUCAGAGGUGAAAUCCUGGAGCUCAACUCCAGAACUGCCUUUGAUACUGGGAAUCUUGAGUAUGGAAGAGGUGAGUGGAACUGCGAGUGUAGAGGUGAAAAUUCGUAGAUAUUCGCAAGAACACCAGUGGCGAAGGCGCCUGUCUGGCUGACAACUGACGCUGAGACUCGAAAGCUGGGGAGCAAACAGG